rnacentral:rRNA from 1 species
UACGUAGGUGGCAAGCGUUGUCCGGAUUUACUGGGCGUAAAGAGCGCGCAGGCGGCUGGUCAAGUCCGAUGUGAAAGCUCCCGGCUUAACUGGGAAACGGCAUCGGAAACUGAUCGGCUUGAAGGUGGGAGAGGGUAGUGGAAUUCCCGGUGUAGAGGUGAAAUUCGUAGAUAUUCGGAAGAACACCAGUGGCGAAGGCGACUCACUGGCCCGUUACUGACGCUGAGGCGCGAAAGCGUGGGGAGCAAACAGG